GAGGUUGUGGCUCAGUGAUAGAGCGCUUGCCUAGCAUGUGCAAGGCCCUGGGUUCAAUCCUCAGCACCACA
rnacentral:tRNA from 1 species